UAAGCUAUUUAUUCAGAGAUGUUCAAGUUGUCAGUUACAAGAUGCCUGAGCCAGAAACGGACAAGUCUGGAGGAUCUUAAGAAAUUAGUCCUCCAGAAGUAUGAAUCCUACCUGGAGAAAUUGAGAAGCCACAACU
rnacentral:lncRNA from 1 species